CCGCCAUCUUAACGUCCUUUAUCAAGUGUGGACAACAACCUUUUUCUUUCACUCACCGACAGUGCUUUGCAAGAUAGACAGCCUCUCUAGGGUUUUUCAACCAUCGACGCCCCCCAGGAGAGAGAUGACAAGAUGCUAACCCCAUAUGAAGUCGGAUCUCAGGCCCACUCAGUACCAAGGCCAUUUUAACUGCAAGGCCAUUCUAUAUUAAGGUUUAACCAGAAGUUGGGAGCCGGACUCUACACUUUCCUACUGUAGCACUGAAGCACUGUAGCACGUUCUCUUCUCAGAAGUGACAACUCUGGUUUGUCACUCCUCAAGAAUCAAGCCAGAGUUUUGUAUGCAAAUUAACUGUACAGCGGUGAUUGUAGAAGAGCCCAACUGUGGACCUAUUUAAACAACUAUGAAUGAAGCGCUUGGAGGAUGCUCUGGGCCCCAGAGAUGCUAUUGCCAUCGUCAUAGAAACAAAAAGGACUGACACAAACCAGGGGAAAUGCCUAUCCUGGGCUUGGCAUGUAUGCUGGAUUAAUUUAAUAUUAAAAAAUAGAAUAGUGACAAUA
rnacentral:lncRNA from 1 species